UGGGGAAUCUUGCGCAAAUGCGGGAAACCGUGACGCAGCGACGCCGCGUGGGGGAAGAAGGCCUUCGGGUUGUAAACCUCUUUCAGGAGGGACGAAGCUACUCGGGUUAAUAGCCCAGAGGGUGACGGUACCUUCAGAAGAAGCCCCGGCUAACUACGUGCCAGCAGCCGCGGUAAUACGUAGGGGGCAAGCGUUGUCCGGAUUUAUUGGGCGUAAAGAGCGUGUAGGCGGCCAGACAAGUCUGCUGUGAAAACUCGAGGCUCAACCUCGAGCUGUCGGCGGAAACUGUUUGGCUAGAGUCCGGAAGAGGAGAGUGGAAUUCCUGGUGUAGCGGUGAAAUGCGCAGAUAUCAGGAAGAACACCUAUGGCGAAGGCAGCUCUCUGGGACGGUACUGACGCUGAGACGCGAAAGCGUGGGGAGCGAACA
rnacentral:rRNA from 1 species